rnacentral:misc_RNA from 1 species
GUACACGUACGCGCUUAGCCACGCACGCCUUCCGCGCUGCGCGCCGACUCACUGACGCCGCGCCCGCCCACGUGCCGGUGGCCUGCGGCUGCUUUGCCCUUACCGUUUUUGGUCCUGUGCGUAUCUCUCGUUCUCCAGUGAGCGCGCCGGGCGCACUAUACUGCUAGUCCCUUCUGCCCCUCAUCCCCAUCCCGCGUUGGUUCGCCUUGUGGCUCGCACAGGCCUCAAAGACGAUCCGCCUUCCCACCGCUUUUGCCCCCCCCCCCCCCCCCCCCCCACACACACACACACACACACACAAGUUGUACCCUCGGGCGCUGAACGUCUCUUUGGCAGCUGAGUCGUUGCACCAAUGGGCGUCCCCAAGUUCGCGGCAUGGUUGACGAGGAAGUACCCAUCCAUGGUGAUGGACAGCUGCCCUGGCGAUGUGCACGGCCUCUAUAUCGAUCUCAACGGGCUCAUUCAUCCCUGCUGCCACGACGAGCACGACCCGUCUGUCGCCCUACGUACGCAGGGGGAGAAGCUGCGCAGCAUCUGCCUCGCCAUCGAAACGCUUGUCGUAACGGUGCGUCCGCAGCAUGUCAUCUACAUCGCCGUGGACGGCGUUGUGCCGCGUGCCAAGAUGAACCAGCAGCGCGCGCGGCGGUACAUGAGCUCCGCCGCACCGCUCACAGACACGGACAAGCCGAUUCACGGCGGCGGCCACGAGUUGAGUGCGACCAUUGUCGCGGCGAUCGAGAAGGAGUUCACGCAAGCAGAGUGCGACGGGGUGGAGCGUGAGUUGGCGGAUGUGAGCCAGGCACUUAUGGGAGAUGUGCUGUAUGGCGGUUGCGCAACGAUGGCGCUGGCGGAGGACGCGACCGAGAAGGCGGAGGCCCAUACGCUGGGCGCGGCGCCAUGGACUACUGCGCUGACCUUGGCAAGCGAAGGUGCGUGCUGCGCCGCCGCCCAAGUCGGCAGGCAGCCUGCAGCGGCGGCAUCGCCAGCCAAGUUCGAUAGCAACUGCAUCUCCCCUGGCACAGCCUUCAUGGAUGCCGUGGCGGCUGCCGUGCGAGACUACAUCCGUCACAAGUUGGCGCCAAAGAAGAACGACGACGGCGGCAAGGCGGAGGCGGAGGCCGGAGCGUCUCCAGCCGCCAUCAAUGCCACCUGCGCACACUGGGCUGGCCUCACCGUCAUCUUCUCGGACUCGAACACUGCCGGCGAGGGCGAGCACAAAAUCUUCGACUUUCUGCGCACCCAGUCAGCUUUCCCCGGCUUCAACGGCAGCGGUUGUCACGUCAUCGCUGGGCUGGACGCCGACCUCAUCUUCCUCUCGCUUUCUCUGCACAUCCCGCGUGUGGUCAUCCUGCGCGACCAGAAACGGUCCAGCUACGAGCAGGCGUUGCUGCCCGACACCGCCGGCGGCACGCUCGUCACCAAGAAGGUGUCCCCGAAGGUGAAACCACGGCGAGUUCGAAGGCCGGCCGUGCCCAGCUCGUCGAUGUCGUCGAUCGGCUCGGCUGCCGCGCCGACGGCCGCGGCGGGGGACGAGGUGGCGCUCGCCAGCGGCACCGCUUCCAUGGCGGCGCCAAGCGACGACGAGGCGGACGAAUGCGGGCUUUUCUGGCGCUCUGAGGCGCCCUCGAGUCCCGCGUCGCCGGCGACCAUGGGCCCAAAGACGGCACCGCCGCAGCACGUUGCUGACAUGGUGGUUGAGCCGAGCAGUGGCUACCAGUACUUCGACAUAGACGUUGUCGGGGCGUCUGUGGUGUCGGAGGUGUAUCAACUGUGCUUGGAAAAUGGCUUGCAGCUCCGGGGCGACCCGCUCGAGUGCGCGGACAACUGCGUGUCGGCGAACGGGUUCUGUUUCUACCCCUACAAGGGCACCAGCAGCCGCGAGGUCGACGGUGGCGGCAGUGAUGAUGCGAAGGCGGCAAGGCCAGCGGCGGCAAAGGGCGGUGGAAAGCGCAGAGGGAUGCUUGACGGGAAGCCCAAGGCCCCUCCGCCGCCUUUUCACCCGUGCACCUCGAGUAGCAACUCGAAGAUCAUCGACGACUUCAUUGUGCUCGGCGUACUGCUCGGUAACGACUUCCUACCGCAUCUGCCGAGCGUCUACUGUGGGGAGAGUGCCAUGGACACGUUGAUGGAUGUCUAUGUCCGCGCAGUGCUGCCGUACGGAUACCUGACCGGCGGCGAGUACGACAUUCGGCUGCUGCAGCUGGAGCGGCUGCUUCGCGCGUACGCGGCGGUCGAGGCGGCGUGCUUUCGCCAGUUCGCUAUCCAGUCGGGGGCAAUGAAGCCACACGACGCUGCAACGCCAGAGCUCUGCUCGGCUGAGGAUCGCCGCUGCUGGCGCGACGUGUACGUGCGCACUACAUCGCUGCGCGAUGAGGCGGGGUCGCAGGCAGCGUGCAGGUCGUAUGUGGAGGGAAUGCGGUUUGUGUGGCGCUACUACAGCUCCAUAUCCCUGCAGGUGAGCUGGGCGUGGUACUACCCGUUCCACCACGCCCCGCUGGCCCUCGAUAUCGCUGAUUUUCUGCGUGCGCAAGGGCCGCAGGUGCAGACCACGCUGGCGGCACCCAAGCUAGAGUGGCAACCGCCGUCACCGUUCUGCCAGCUGCUCUGCAUUCUGCCCCCACCAAGCCGCCAGCUCGUGCCCGACGCUCUGCGUGCAACGAUGGCGUCUCCUCCAGCCGAGCUGGCGGACACGUUCCCGCACCGCUGGGUGGUCGACAGAACUGGCGCCUACGGCAAGGACCAUCUGGCGACGGUGCUCUUGCCCUUCGCAAACGUGUCGCGGCUGCAGGAGCUGGUGGCCGCUGCCAGUGGGACGUACACGGAAGCGGAGCAGCAGCGGAACGCGCUACGCUCGGGGCACCUCGUCUUCGAGGGGCGGCCGGCACAGCUCGCCAAGGACUCAACAGACGCAUCCACUGACGCUACGCCCACAACCGCAACGGCCGGAAACUUUACCGACCUCGUGGCGAGUGAAAGGGCUGACCCCGCACCUUUUCCAACGCCGCGGCGGGCCUCUCCCGCUCACAAAGAGCCGCCUGUCGCAGGGAGCACCGCAGCGAUGAUGCGCGGCUACCGCAUCCAGGGCAGCGGCCUGUCCGUGCUUUCCGCGGGGGAGAAACCGGCCGACAUGAGGGACUGCACCGCCAUCGUCUGCUCCUCUCUUGUUGAAGUUGUCCCGCCUCUGUCGCGACCGCGCACCUACUCAUACAACGUGCCCAUCCCGAGUCUGACGGUGCUCCCGGACGGCAGCCGUCUUGCGGCGGACCGGCGCUCGCAGUACAGCAAAGACGGGCGCCGGCGGCGCGACGGCAGCGGCGCUGAUCCGCCAGGCAGAAAAGCACGCGCCCGCGCGGCUUCGAACAACGCCGCCGAGGCCCAGGCCCUCACGCCCGCCAUGCUGUUUGGCGAGUUUGCCUUGUGCCUUGUUGCGACGGGUAUACUGACGGCGGAGGCGACGCUCUGGCGCUCCUCGCCCACGCCAUCUUGGCUACGGAGCUGGCCGGUCCUGCUGCAGCUGUGCGGCAUCGGCGCCGCUUUGGUCUCGCUUGCCUUCGCGCUGGGCCUCGCCGUCGCGCCCAAGGGCCGCAGCGCAGGAAGCGGGCUGCACCGCCACAGCAUCUUCACGGCCUUCGCGGACUGGCAGUGCUCGGCUUGUCUCUCCGUGAACUUCUCGCGCAACCGGCGCUGCUUCAUCUGCCGUGCACCGUACGACCCGCACCGGUGCGUGGCGCUCUUCAGCAGCCGUUAUCCUCCAGAGCCGCCCCUGAUGGACCCAGACCACUCCGCCUACGCGGCGUGCUACAGCAUCACUGCGCUUUAGAGACAACUUUUGUUGGUGAGGGAAGGAUCUGCGUGCGCCUACAACCCACGGUGCUGCGGACUGUGUGGCUGCACGUACGUGGUGUCGCGAUCGGACUUGCUAGUGAUUUCGACAUGACGAGAAACUCAAGAAGGCAAACUCAAGCAACGAAAAGCGACAGCGCACGCGCACACGCAGGGUCUGUAGCGGAGGGCUUUUGUAGAUCGACGCUGGCGGGAGGCGGAGAAGAGGGUCGCGUCCGCUUGUUCUGAAGGUGUUCGAUCAAAGCAAGACCUCUUUCUCUCUUCGUGUGUGCCAGCGCCCUCCUCCUCGUUUCCUUCAGUCCCGCUAUCUUCUCUCGCUCGCUCUGUGGCGAGACCACCUGGCGGCCUUGCGUGCCACAUCGUCCUGACUUGUGGCAGAGCCCUUGUCCCUCAACGUUUUGCGCGCACCCAUGUGCUGCUCAGCAUCGGCGUUGCUUGCCGCGCCUCGUUGACCCCUCCCCCUUGCCUAUUCGUUCUCACAUACACACAUGUAUGUCUAUGCUUCCUUGCACCUCUUGCAAGCACAGCUGUGCACGGCGAGAGCAUGUCUCUGGACUUGG